rnacentral:rRNA from 1 species
ACGCCUAAUACAUGCAAGUCGAACGAAGUAGCAAUACUUAGUGGCAGACGGGUGAGUAACAUGUAGGUAUCUUCCCAUUGGUGAGGAAUAACACGAGGAAACUUGUGCUAAUACCUCAUAAGUCUUUACGGAGAAAGCUUUAUGCGCCGAUGGAUGAGCCUGCACUUGAUUAGUUUGUUGGUAGGGUAAUGGCCUACCAAGACAAUGAUCAAUAGCUGAUUUGAGAGGAUGAUCAGCCACAUUGGGACUGAGACACGGCCCAAACUCCUACGGGAGGCAGCAGUAGGGAAUCUUGCACAAUGGGGGAAACCCUGAUGCAGCGAUGCCGCGUGAGUGAAGAAGGCCUUUGGGUUGUAAAGCUCUUUCGUCGGGGAAGAAAAUGACUGUACCCGAAUAAGAAGGUCCGGCUAACUUCGUGCCAGCAGCCGCGGUAAUACGAAGGGACCUAGCGUAGUUCGGAAUUACUGGGCUUAAAGAGUUCGUAGGCGGUUAAAAAAGUUGGUGGUGAAAUCCCAGAGCUUAACUCUGGAACUGCCAUCAAAACUUUUUAGCUAGAGUAUGAUAGAGGAAAGCAGAAUUUCUAGUGUAGAGGUGAAAUUCGUAGAUAUUAGAAAGAAUACCAAUUGCGAAGGCAGCUUUCUGGAUCAUUACUGACGCUGAGGAACGAAAGCAUGGGUAGCGAAGAGGAUUAGAUACCCUCGUAGUCCAUGCCGUAAACGAUGUGUGUUAGACGUUGGAAAUUUAUUUUCUGUGUCGCAGCGAAAGCAAUAAACACACCGCCUGGGGAGUACGACCGC